GUUCCAGUGCCCUGGGAUUUCUGUAGCAGUCAGUACUGUAUUGAUUAUAAAUGGUGAAGUCCUAGUAUCUUGCUAGAGUGAGCUGGCCAGGAUGGUGGAGCUCUACCACCAUUUCACAGGUUAUAGACAGGUGCCACCAGGUUUCAGGAAACCAGCAAUGACCCCUCAGUAAUAGUUGGAAAGUGUGACAUGACACUGGGCUUCACUGUGUUGGUGAAGAAGAUGUGAGGAAAAUAAAAGCUGCAGUUUGCCUCUGCCUUUGAAGAAGUACAAUACACCUUUCUGGGUUACCCAUGGGAUACUUCCCAACAGCUUUGUCAUCACAUACAAUAUUUGCAAACAAGAUCUUAAUGGCAUCCACUUUCUCCAGGAACACAGCCCCUGGCCUGUGUGUGUUUGCGUAGAGAGGGCAUGCUAUGUACCCCCCAGGAUAUCAAGAUUCCUGUAGCAGAUUGAGCUCUGGCAGUUGAUCUCAGUGGCUUGAUAGAGUGUCAUUAUAAAAAUGCACCUGGAAGAUUCUGUGGAAAAGAGAAACCUCCGAAGACCAAGGCAGAGAGGACAAAGGCACAUAGCCUUGGUUUGACAGUCAGAUGGUCCCAUCUGGGGAUAGAGGAAAAGCGAUCCACAGUGCCACAGUAGCAGCAGAGACUGGAACAGUGCAAACUCUAUUUUAUCUUAAAUUCUUCAUCUACGAAUCUACCCACCACUCAAGCCUGGGAAAGCUGGCAGAGGAUGCACGUGUUUUACUCACCUGAGUGUUCACAAUGCUCGUGAGGGGCCUUCCUGAUGAUUUACACUAAAUAUCUCCAUUUAUCUAACGUGGAUGAAGGUGUUCUUGGGCCUACGUACAUCUUUAAGUAGACUAAUGAGAUGACAAUUUUGAAAAGGGUAAUGAUAGCAUCUCACAGUUCAGUUUAAGGAAGCAAUACAGAGACAUGCAGAUCAUCCCUAAGACAUGAGUACCCCAUGUGAGGGUGUUGUGAGGGCCUAAGAAGAAAGACAAUCAUUUGGGACAACGUUCUGAGAAGGGAGAUGGUUGCUGCCCUCGUGGAUUUAACAGACUUGGUUAUGUGGCUAGUUUUUUUUUUUCUUCCAUACCUGAACUGUGGUGUUACUCAAGAGAAUCGUCUGAAGCUUGUGUUGGAUAGGACAGGCAAUAACUUCAAACUGAAUAAUGAGGCCCAAGAUGGACAGUCCCUCGUUGAGGGUGAGAGCCAGCACCCUUGUAGACUGUGACUACAAGGCCAGCUCCUAGAGCUAGAGUUCCAUAUGGACAAGGACAAGCUCUAGCUAGAUCAGAACAAUUUCAUCACAAAGCAAGUUUUAUUUUCAAUCAUCGCUGCAGACCACAAAGGUCAGGCUAAAUAUCAACAGAUCUCUAUUGUGGGAAAAUCUGGACUUUUGGCUUAUUAUCAGUACUCAACCUUGAUAGGCAGCACCAGAUUAACUGCUAAAGAUUCUCUGCAUCUUUAUCUCAUUAGCCUUUUACAUUUUAUCCUGUUUCUUAGCCUCAGCUGGAGGACUGAUACAGUCAGGUCCCGCUGGGGCAACAACGUAAAAGGUGGGAAGGAAAAUGUUCAUGUUGACACCAGGGUAGUGAAAGCUAUCCAAGCUAUGGGGAAUUUAAUGCCGAGGAAACGCAAGAUCAGGGUGGAGCAUC